AAGAGGAGGAAGAGGUUAUGGUGGUACCAAAAUUUGUUGGUGAAGGAAGCUCUGAGAAAGAAUGGUGUCCUCCCUCUGACCCUGAUUUCUCUAUGUAUGUGUAUGAGGUGACCAAAUCAAUACUGCCAAUAACCAAUAUUAAGGAACAGAUUGAGGAUCUGGCAAAGUCAUACGUUCACUAAGAAUCAGAGAUAGCAGCUGGAAAUUGCUUCAAGAAAAAUGCCUGUCAUUUUCUUCAGCUAGACCAUGAAAAGCAUCUUUCAAUGUGAUCCUGUAGAAGUUAUGAAUGAAUCAAAAGUUUGAAAAUUAAAUCAUCCCUUAGGUGGAUGGGGUGUUCAUAAGUUAAAGGAAUCCUACUGUGAAUUAUUUGUAAACUGAUAAAUUUUCUAAUACAAA
rnacentral:sRNA from 1 species